GGUAUGUUGUACUUGUUUGUUUUUGGAGGUUCCCAUUUUUAGUUCCAGCCCACUGCCUGCGCUGGAAGUCCAAGAGGAAGCGAGUGCAGGGAGUUCUCCCAGAGCUGACUUGCACUUCCUCACGGAUGCGGGAGGCCGGGUAAGCCCUCCUGGCCUCUCUCCCCGGACUGGCGGCGCUGGAAACUGAGCAGCCAAACCAGAGGCGGAGGAGACGACCGUGGAGUGAUUUGUCCUGAAACCAUCAGGUGCAAAAGCUGCCAGGACAAAACAGAGUCCAACGGGACCACUGUGUCCUUUGGAUAGCUGGGGAAAAAAACUUCUUGGUGUGUGUGUGUGUGUGUGUGUGUGUGUGUGUGUGUGUGUGUGUGUGUCUGCUUUGCUUUGGAUCAUUUGGAAGCCUUCCACUUCAAAUGAAGUACAAUCUCUCUCUCUCUCUCUCUCUCUCUCUCUCUCUCUCUCUCUCUCUCUCUCCAGAAAAAUGAGGGAUUCAGAUAUGAGAAAAAUGAGGGAUAACUUCCCAUAAUGGAAGUUAGAUUUUAAGAUCGUAUAAGAUCCCUCACAAGACCCUCUCCAUGAUUUUUAGUGCCAUUCACAAACUUCCAAACUUCCAAAGUGUCAUACUCUGACUUCUUAAGUAAUUUUAAUAAGAAAUGGUACAGUUUCCCCCCUCCCCAUAAGCUCUGGGUUAGCGUCUCUUCUUUUUUACUAUGUAGGGCCUGUCUGCCUUCAGAGCUCAGCAGUAUCACUUAGGAGAGCCCUCAGUGCUGACUUUUCUGUGAAUGACUCCAGGGAGCACAAUGAGAAGCUGUUUGGAUGAUUGCACACUCCAGCGCAGGCAGCUGGUAGGGGAAUGAGUUAAGUUCAUUCAUUCAAAAGUAUUCGCUAGGGGCCUUAGGACCUCUUGGGUUUUCUGGGUGUGGGGACUUUCAAAGACAAUGGGCUGUCAGGUGUUAUGCAAAUAAAGAAAGCAAACCCCCGGGUCCUGUCCCCCCCCCCCAGGUCAGGGACUCCUCUGUUAGGGAACAAUUCCUCCUCCCUUAAGGGUUCAUUGUUUCCGUCUUAGCGAAGUGGCUGGGAGGGGAGGGGUUGAGGGUGGAGAAGGCACAGCACAGGGAAGGAGGUGAUGGAGAAAGAGAAUGGAGAGGGUUCCUGGCUUCUGUUGUGGCGUCUUUUCUAUUUGACUUCAUGGUUGUAAGUAUUUCCAGAUGGUGAAUCAGACACCAGACGUAACAAUAUUUCCAUAUUUGGGUAUAGCAGUAGCCUGCGUUUUUAACAUUUUUCUGCCUCUGUUAUCCAACCACAAGGCAUUCUUGACAGCUUCAAAUGUUGUUAAAUAUAGACUUAACUUCUGUUCCCAGAGCAGGAAAUUCUUUGGAAUUCCUUGUUUUUCACGCAAUCUGUCUAUCAUGAUUUAAAAUAAAGUUGCAGAGGGUGAUCCAACUGGCCUGAAUAUACUGUGUUCCUUCGCUGGUGGAGGGAGGAGCAGCCUGGAGGUCCACUAUACUGCACAGCAUUCAGACAGACAGGCCGUUCCAUAGAUGCCUUUAAACCAGAUUAAGGUUUUCUACGAGGAUGUGUGUGUGUGUGUGGGGGGGGUUGUUUCUGGUCUCCAACUGGGCAAUCUCAAAGAAUGGGCUUGUCCCCAGAGGAGAAACCCGGAGAACAUUACCAUCAGCAGCCCAUUUAAAGCAGCGGCUGUCUGGUGGGAAGGGGUGGGAAGCUGGAGUCCACAAGGCCAGGAGGUGCCGGAGGAGAGGCUGCUGUAACCUGUGUGCACAGCCUUGGCAGACAGCAUGCCCUGCUUCGCCUACUGGUAACCAAGAGGAACAGCGGUUCCUUAAGUCCUUGCCUAGGAUGGUCCAGAAACCCCAGACGUCCUGUCGCCUUCUCACCUCCUCUGCUGAGAGCUACAGAUCUUCCGUUGACAGACGAGGGGAAUGUGCAAACGGUGUGGGUAACAGAAUGACCCCAGUCCAGGGGACACACACAGUCAAGUUGCUGCAGACAGCGAGGUCACAGAAUGCCGUGCCUGAGGACGCCUGGCUGAUGCUUGUCCUUAGUGUCAGGGGCUGUUGGAAUGGGUGGAAGAAAACAUAGGCCUGUGUUCUCACAUAAGAGGUAUACCAGAGGUCAGAUGUCGACACCGUUCUGGCCGAUUCUAGGAAGCCUGAAGACGAUCCCUCACAGUUGCUGGUUGCCACGUUCAGGCUGCAGACCUCAAGGGACUUGCCCUCUCUGGUGCCUGGAGCUCCAGCUACCUGCGAAGCUUCUAAGAAGAGCGCCCGCUGCCCAUUUCAUUGCCAAAUAAACUUUACUUAAGAAUCAGAAGUGAUGUGGCCCAGAAACUAAAGCGUUUGCCCAGCAAACAUGUGGACCUGGGUUCGGAUCCCCAGAACACAUGUGAGAGCUGGAUCUCGGGGCCUGGAAAGCUGGCUCCUCAGCAGCUAAGAGAACUCGUUCUUCUUGCAGCAGCCAGGAGUUCAGCUCUGAGCACCCACACGAUGGCUCACAAUCACCCACAAUUCCAGUUCCAAAAGAUCUGACAACCUCUUCUGACCUCUGCUACCACCAGGCACACAUGUGGUGUGCAUACACACAUGCAGGCCAAACAUCCAAACAAAAAUCCAUCUUUAAAAAAGUAAGCUGAAUAUGGUAAUCUCAGCAUGAGGAGGUAGUGAUGGAUCAAUCUUUAGACUGGUCAAGCAGUCUAGCGAAAUCAGUGGGCUUCGGGGUUAGCAAGAGACCAGGACGCAAAAAGAGUAAGUUGGAGUCAGCUUUUCAGAUCCUUGCUCUUGGGAUGCAGAGACAAGCAGAUCUCUUCAAAGACUCAAGUCUAGGACCAACCUAGUCUGCAGGGCAAAUUCCAGACCAACCAAGGCUACAUAAUAAAACUGAGCCAAUAAAACAACAACAAUAAUGGUGCUACUGAUGCUGUGGAGAGUGAUGGGGAAGAUGCUAUCGAUUUCUGGCUUUCGUAGGCAGGCAUACACACAUAACAGAGCUGUCAUUCAACUCUUGGUUCUAGUAGAAGUUUAUGACCUAUUAGUAAAAUGGAAAAACUGUCAUUUUCUUAUUUUUUUUUUAUUCUUCCCCAAAUAUCAUUCAGGGUUUUUUUUCUCUCUGCUCUCCCCUGACUCAGUGCUGUGAGCAGCUGGCACUGUCUUGGCAACAUGACAGGAAACACUUUUCUUAGGGCACCCGUAUCCAAUGGGAACGAAAUCUGUUUAUUUCCUCCAGCUGGCACGGGGCCACAGGAAGCCUGGCGUUUCCAGCUGUAUCCCGUACCUUACAGAACUUCUUGUCUUGUGCUAACACAGAAAUAUUUCACUGGAAGGAACUGAAAGGAACCUCCCGCCCCGCCCUGCAAUCUAUCUUCAGGAGAUGAUUGAGCAAUUUGAAAUAUAGUAAUUAUAAGUCACUAUCAAAUGGGCUCGCUCCAGACUCAGGGAUUCAAGAAUUCAGCCUUCACCUCUUGUGCUUUAUUUCUGGAAACACUAUUUUUUUUAAUUACCCACUUAAAACACACACACACACACACACACACAUGCACACGCACACACCACAUUAGGAAUUCAGAAACGAUUUGAUUUGAGCACAGUUGAUGAGCACACAGAGUCCACAGUCAGACUGAAGCUUUUUAUCUGUGCCAGCUUUUACAGGUCACGGGAUUAAGUAUUAGGGAGAGUUCUGACACUGAGUCGAUUGAGCAAAGAAAGACACAAGGAUGUGUGUUAAUACUCAGCCUGAUGCUUGGCACACAAAAAAAGUGCCUAAUACAUUGUGAUUACCCCAAUUGCUAAGCACUAUCAGGAUCUCAGCUUUUCUGAUAAUUAACAUCAAAUGAACUCGCCUUGUUCUAGAAAGUAUUUUCUAGUCUAUAGAUUAGAUGGAUUCAGGCUAUAUAUGCAUGUGUAUGGCGUACUGACAAUGCAAUCACAAAGACCCAUUUAGCCUAAUAUUCUGAUCUGCACUGGGUACCGGAGAUCGACCAAUACAGCACUCAAACAGCCUUGCCUACCAAAGCAUUGCCAUUUUGCCGGUGGCCCUCCGUGGUGGUGAGCAGUGUGAGAUUUGUCUUGGUUUCCUCGGCAAUGAAAUGAAAGGGUUGGACUAAAGAGUCAGAGAAGUGUUUCUGCCAAGGAGUAGUUAAGCAAAACAAACAAACAAACAAACAAACAAGUGCUGUGUCUCGGGGUGAGACCUGGCUUCUACUUGGCCUCAGCAGUGGGGCCAUUUGGAACCAUCUACGGAGCCCGCCUUUUGCCGAGAAUACAGGCAUCGAACUGAACUUUAUAAAUAGCCCUGUGGUGUGUUUUAUUAAAAGAUGAGAUAAGGAGGCUUCACCAGAGCUUUGUAACCAGUGCACCCAUGCAAGGCAAAGCUCCCACUAGAGCAGAGUGUCUUUGCCACAGGCCACUGCUUUCAAGAGCGGCGUGGUAUGGGUGCCCCUGUGAAAUCCACCUGAAAAUUCAAAAACUAGUCAACAGUUUCUGGAAGUCUCCUUAACAACUGACUGAAUCCAUCCCUUCAAUUGUUCUUCCCAGAUGUGUCUUCAGUUUAUUUGUGUCUUCAGUAACUGUGGACUCCCAGUUGCUAUGGGGUGAGAGUCUGUUAAUAAAAAUCACUCUCUUUAGGGCCCCUGCC